GAUGAACGCUGGCGGCGUGCUUAACACAUGCAAGUCGAACGAUGAAGCCCAGCUUGCUGGGUGGAUUAGUGGCGAACGGGUGAGUAACACGUGAGUAACCUGCCCUUAACUCUGGGAUAAGCCUGGGAAACUGGGUCUAAUACCGGAUAGGAGCGUCCACCGCAUGGUGGGUGUUGGAAAGAUUUAUCGGUUUUGGAUGGACUCGCGGCCUAUCAGCUUGUUGGUGAGGUAAUGGCUCACCAAGGCGACGACGGGUAGCCGGCCUGAGAGGGUGACCGGCAACACGGGGACUGAGACACGGCCAGGACUCAUAGGGGGGGAAGCAGGGGGGAAUAUUGAAAAAGGGGCGCAACCCUGAUGCAGCGACGCGGGGGGAGGGAUGACGGCUUUCGGGUUGAAACCCUCUUUCAGUGGGGAAGAAGGGAAAGGGAGGUUACCGGAAGAAGAAGCACCGGCUAACUACGUC
rnacentral:rRNA from 1 species